UACGGGGGGGGCAAGCGUUGUUCGGAAUUAUUGGGCGUAAAGAGCUCGUAGGCGGUGUGUCACGUCGGCCGUGAAAACCUGCAGCUUAACUGUGGGCGUGCGGUCGAUACGGGCAUCACUGGAGUUCGGCAGGGGAGACUGGAAUUCCUGGUGUAGCGGUGAAAUGCGCAGAUAUCAGGAGGAACACCGGUGGCGAAGGCGGGUCUCUGGGCCGAUACUGACGCUGAGGCACGAAAGCGUGGGGAGCAAACAGG
rnacentral:rRNA from 1 species